AAACACAGAUGUUCAGCAACUAUGGCAGCCUCCAAUAAAGAUUUUCAACGACUUAAAAGAAUGGUUAAAGCAUCCCAUCCAUAUCGAAAAACUGUGCUUUGUCAAUUGGUGGUUGCCGUUGUCGUUAUUUACUUUUGGUACAGCUUUAAUGAAGACCAAGAGCUACUUACAUUGGCAGCUAAUUAGGAUUUAUUCCAUGGUUUUUAAGAAGGAAGAUCCCAGUUUUAGAGGUGAGCCCAGAUGUGAGUCCAAUGAUAUAUUUUCCCCACGCCAACGAGGAUGGAAACAACAUUAGGUGGUCCAGACAUGUCAACAGUCGGAGAGCAUUAGACACAGCCAUUACAGGAGAAAUCGACAUGAUACAAGGUGAUGUAAUCCUAAAGGGACAGGACACUGAACAUCAGAGCCUCAUUCCGGUGAUGGCCCGCCUCCCUAACAAGGACAGUGACCUGACCCUGGAUGAUUGGCUGGCUGAGGUCAGGCAGUCCUAUAGUAAAGGAAUCAAGGUCACCCUCCAGUCCAACGAUGCUGUGGAGAUCACACUACAAAAACUAAAGGACUCCAGAAGAGGGCUUCGGAGACCUGUUUGGCUGCAUGCUGAUAUACUACAAGGUCCUCAUGGUUCCAAGCCAAGAGUUGACAUGACAAGGUACUUCAAGCAUGUCAACCGUUUGUUCCCAGAAUGCACCAUGUCACUGGGUUGGACGACGGGCACUCACACCGACCUCAGCCUGAGUGGUUACUCCUGGGAUAAUGUCCUGGACAUAUAUUAUGCUGUCAUGGAUGCAGAGCUUCAACAGCCAAUUGUCAUCUCUAUUAGAUCUUCUCUUAUUCGAAACUCAAUACCACAGCUUAAAUGGCUGACAGACAACCUUCAUGCUAGUGUGUUCAUUUGGCAAGAAGAAGGGGAGAGAACUGCAGCAGAGGAUUUGAUGCACAUAGCUUACAGGUUUGCCCCUGAAAAAUCCUAUUGGGACAUCCAUAAUAAAGAUCUUAAUGCUUAUCUAAAAAAGAACAGAAAUAAAUCCAGUCCCAACUUGAGCCCCUACGCCAAGCAGCGGGACACUGUCUUAUUUCGCCCAGAUGCCUGGCUGAAGAUGGGUCUUCAUAUGGAACAUCACUCCAUUCUACCCAGUGAAGAGGCAUUGGUCCUACAGAGUCGUGCAGUGUAUGUUCUGACAAAGACCAAGUAUAGGCCCUCCAAACUCAUCUCUCUCAAUGGCAGAGUCCAGUUUUUAAACAGGAAGAAUAAAGAUGUGGUCCCCAAUGAGACAGGACUGAGUAUUUUCCUGCGCUCCACUGCAUAUACAGAUUUUGAUAAGAUCCUGGGGAUUCAGUGUUUCUUGGGACUUGAUGGACAGAUGAAGAUCAGCUCGAGUCACCUGAGCACAGAGUUCCACAAGAGUAUGCGGUUCACUCCAGGCAGUGCAUCCUGUUUCCGGUUUUCGGUGGUAGACACAGGGACUGAGGUCGUCUUUGAGGUGGCCAUCCUCCACGACUGUCACACACUGGAGAGUGUGAUGCCCAUGAAUCAAGUGAAGGCGGAGUUGAGGCUGAAGGUGCCUAACACUAUCGGGAACGAGAUGAACCCGUUCAUUGUGAAACUAGAGGACAGCAAUCGUGUGGCAGUAUUCGAUGAACUUCACGUCAAACAUGGUAGUUUCUUAUGAGAAUUAUGUACCGUUAUACUGCUUCUUUCAAAAUUUAUUCUUUCAUUAUGCAGGUGCCUCUGUUUAUUGUAGAUAUUAACAGUCUGCUUUUCUUAGUAAUAUACAGAAUUACCAAGAUAUUUUUAGGGUGUUUUUUUAUUAAUCAUGUAAUUAUCAUUGAAUUAUUUAACAUGGCAUUCUGUUUUCAAUGUCUUUCUUCAAACAUACAUGUACAUUCAUCUACCGAUGCAUUACAGGUGAUUUGCUUUUGUUGACAUGCAUGUUCCAUUGUCAUGAAUUAUUUUAUUUUCUUUAUUGAGAAAGUGCUGGUACAUGGCAUUAAUAUUCCAUUUAAUACAUUCCUGAGAAAAAUUAUUUAUAUGUUCAAUUUACACCAUGUGUGUUGUGUGAAACUUGUGAUGUAAAAGGUUGUGUGAUUUUGUUUACAUGUUAUCUGAUGAUGUCUACAGUUCAUUCCAUACAUGCAGUAUAGAUUGUUUACAAAGAAUAAUGUAUUGUAACUAUGGUUAAUAUCAAUUUAUGAUAAUGAUUAUAAUUUUGAUGGAUUUUAUGUUAUUUGUUACUCUUUUUCUACAUGGAAUAUAUCUUUCAGAAAUAAAUGAUCUAUAACCU
rnacentral:misc_RNA from 1 species